rnacentral:rRNA from 1 species
AAGGUCUUCGGAUUGUAAAGCACUGUCAGCAGGGAGGAAGGCGAUUCUUUUCAAUAAAGAGAGUCGCUUGACAGUACCUGCAGAGGAAGCCACGGCUAACUCCGUGCCAGCAGCCGCGGUAAUACGGAGGUGGCAGGCGUUACUCAGAUUGAUUGGGUGUAAAGGGCGUGUAGGUGGUGAAUUAAGUCGAGUGUGAAAUCCCUUGGCUCAACCAAGGAACUGCAUUCGAAACUAAUUUGCUUGAGUGAUAGAGAGGUAAGCGGAAUUCCCGGUGUAACAGUGAAAUGUGUAGAUAUCGGGAGGAACACCAGUGGCGAAGGCGGCUUACUGGCUAUCUACUGACACUGAAACGCGAGAGCUAGGGGAGCAAACAGGAUUAGAUACCCUGGUAGUCCUAGCUGUAAACGAUGGGCACUAAGUAGAGGGGUUUU